AGAGAAGCAAUACCGCGAGGUGGAGCAAAACUUCAAAAAUAGGUCUCAGUUCGGACUGUAGGCUGCAACUCGCCUACACGAAGUUGGAAUUGCUAGUAAUCGUGGAUCAGCAUGCCACGGUGAAUACGUUCCCGGGUCUUGUACACACCGCCCGUCACACCAUGGGAGCUGGUAACACCCGAAGUCAGUAGUCUAACCGCAAGGAGGACGCUGCCGAAGGUGGGAUUAGCGACUGGGGUGAAGUCGUAACAAGGUACC
rnacentral:rRNA from 1 species